rnacentral:rRNA from 1 species
AGAGCGAACGCUGGCGGCAGGCCUAACACAUGCAAGUCGAACGGACUCUUCGGAGUUAGUGGCGGACGGGUGAGUAACACGUGGGAACGUGCCUUUAGGUUCGGAAUAGCUCCUGGAAACGGGUGGUAAUACCGAAUGUGCCCUUCGGGGGAAAGAUUUAUCGCCUUUAGAGCGGCCCGCGUCUGAUUAGCUUGUUGGUGAGGUAAUGGCUCACCAAGGCUACGAUCAGUAGCUGGUCUGAGAGGAUGACCAGCCACAUUGGGACUGAGACACGGCCCAAACUCCUACGGGAGGCAGCAGUGGGGAAUCUUGCGCAAUGGGCGAAAGCCUGACGCAGCCAUGCCGCGUGUAUGAUGAAGGUCUUAGGAUCGUAAAAUACUUUCACCGGUGAAAGAUAAAUGACUGUAGCCGGAGAAGAAGCCCCGGCUAACUUCGUGCCAGCAGCCGC